rnacentral:lncRNA from 1 species
CUUUCACAUCAUCAUAGGAAGACGGAUGAAUAUAGUACAACAAGAAAGAAGAAUAUUAUAAACAUUUUUAUGCUGAAUCACAAUAAAAAGAAAGGUGUUCAAGAAGCAGUCACAAUUGACGUGGAUGGAACUAGAAGAGAAAUUGGUGGUCCCAUAGCUCUGGAUUCUGGAAGUCCAAAAUGA